rnacentral:rRNA from 1 species
AAUCAACGCUGGCGGCGUGCCUAACACAUGCAAGUCGAACGAGAAAGUGGUAGCAAUACCAUGAGUAAAGUGGCGCACGGGUGAGUAACACGUGACUAACCUACCCUGGAGUGGGGGAUAACUGAGGGAAACCUUAGCUAAUACCGCAUAAUACCUACGGGUCAAAGGAGCAAUUCGCUCUGGGAGGGGGUCGCGGCCGAUUAGUUAGUUGGCGGGGUAAUGGCCCACCAAGACGAUGAUCGGUAUCCGGCCUGAGAGGGCGCACGGACACACUGGAACUGAAACACGGUCCAGACUCCUACGGGAGGCAGCAGUGGGGAAUUUUGCGCAAUGGGGGAAACCCUGACGCAGCAACGCCGCGUGGAGGAUGAAGUACUUCGGUACGUAAACUCCUUUCGAUCGGGACGAUAAUGACGGUACCGAGAGAAGAAGCCCCGGCUAACUUCGUGCCAGCAGCCGCGGUAAUACGAGGGGGGCGAGCGUUGUUCGGAAUUAUUGGGCGUAAAGGGUGCGUAGGCGGUUUGGUAAGUCUCGUGUGAAAUCUAUGGGCUCAACUCAUAGUCUGCACGAGAAACUGCCG